UACGUAGGGUGCAAGCGUUAAUCGGAAUUACUGGGCGCAAAGCGUGCGCAGGCGGCUAUGCAAGACAGAUGUGAAAUCCCCGGGCUCAACCUGGGAACUGCAUUUGUGACUGCAUGGCUAGAGUACGGUAGAGGGGGAUGGAAUUCCGCGUGUAGCAGUGAAAUGCGUAGAUAUGCGGAGGAACACCGAUGGCGAAGGCAAUCCCCUGGACCUGUACUGACGCUCAUGCACGAAAGCGUGGGGAGCAAACAGG
rnacentral:rRNA from 1 species